rnacentral:lncRNA from 1 species
AUUUUCCCGGCGGCGGCGUCAGGGGUGGACUCAGGGGCGGAAGGAGCAGAAGCAGCAGCGGCGGCGGGCGAGCUUUAUGCCUGUUUUAUUUCACUGCAGUCCAGUUUAAUGGAGCUGGAGCGACUGCACGGGGCCUGGCCCACGCCCCAGGAUGGACCUGAGCCCCCCGCGAAGCUUUAUGCUUGUUUUAUUUCACUGCAAUCCAGUUUAAUGGAGCUGGAGCGACUGCACCGGGCCCGGCCCACGCCCCAGGAUGGACCUGAGCCCCCUGAGAAGGGGAGACCCACAGCCACCCUCAGACUGCCCCAUGGCUACCGAGUGACACCCUUAGAUAACCCACAGCGCCCCAUAGACACCCCCCUUCUGCUCAUCCCCAUAGUGCCUUGUAGACCCACAACAUGUGUUCCCCAGCUUUUAUUGACUCCUGGCAUCCUGAUGUCACCACGACCUUGAUGACAUCAUCAGCAUCAUCAAUUACCCAGUGCCCUUUAGGGCCCCCACUACCCAUCUGCAA